UACGGGGGGAGCAAGCGUUGUUCGGAUUUACUGGGCGUAAAGGGCGCGUAGGCGGCGUGGCAAGUCACUUGUGAAAUCUCCGGGCUUAACUCGGAACGGUCAAGUGAUACUGCUGUGCUAGAGUGCGGAAGGGGCAACUGGAAUUCUUGGUGUAGCGGUGAAAUGCGUAGAUAUCAAGAGGAACACCUGCGGCGAAGGCGGGUUGCUGGGCCGACACUGACGCUGAGGCGCGAAAGCCAGGGGAGCGAACGGG
rnacentral:rRNA from 1 species